GACAGAGGAUGCAAGCGUUAUCCGGAAUGAUUGGGCGUAAAGCGUCUGUAGGUGGCUUUUCAAGUCCGCCAUCAAAUCCCAGGGGUCAACCCUGGACAGGCGGUGGAAACUACCAAGCUGGAGUACGGUAGGGGCAGAGGGAAUUUCCGGUGGAGCGGUGAAAUGCAUUGAGAUCGGAAAGAACAAUCAACGGCGAAAGACACUCUGCUGGGCCGACACUGACACUGAGAGACGAAAGCUAGGGAGCAAAUGGG
rnacentral:rRNA from 1 species